rnacentral:rRNA from 1 species
UACGAACUGUGCAAACGUUAUUCGGAAUCACUGGGCUUAAAGGGUGCGUAGGCGGCUGUCUAAGUAGGGUGUGAAAGCCCCCGCUCAACCGGGGAAUUGCGCCCUAAACUGGAUGGCUGGAGUGAGGCAGGGGUGUGUGGAACUUCCGGUGGAGCGGUGAAAUGUGUUGAUAUCGGAAGGAACGCCGGUGGCGAAAGCGACACACUGGGUCUCAACUGACGCUGAGGCACGAAAGCCAGGGGAGCAAACGGG